rnacentral:tRNA from 1 species
GCCCGGAUGGCGGAAUGGUAGACGCAGCGGACUUAAAAUCCGUUGGCCGCAAGGCCGUGUGGGUUCGAGUCCCACUCUGGGCACCA